rnacentral:tRNA from 1 species
UCCCUGGUGGUCUAGUGGUUAGGAUUUGGCGCUUUCACCGCCGCGGCCCGGGUUCGAUUCCCGGUCAGGGAA